GUUCUCAGGAGAGGCUCUGAAUUAGAAAGGGAUCGCUCAUGUCCAGGCUGGGGGAGAUGGCUGUGGGGGAAGGCAGUGUGUCCCACCCAGGAUCGCGGCGAACCUUGGGUCAGGGUGGAAAUGUCGACUGUAGUUUAAAAUGUUGUCACCUGCCCAGCAGAGCCACCAGAGCCUGGUCACUCGCCCUUCAUCCAUUGGGGGAUUGGAGCCCAGGCAGCUGGAGACGGGCUGCCGUUCCUUCUGUGCCCCAUCACCUGUGUGGCCUGAAUCCAGAAGAAGGUUGAUCUCUCGUGGAGAAGAAAAUGACAACCCACUCCAGUAUUCUUGACUGUACAAUCCCAC
ensembl:lncRNA